rfam:Oryza barthii chromosome 6, whole genome shotgun sequence.
AAUAAAUAUAGUUUUAUACUAUUUAUGUUUAAUGUUUGACCGUUCAAUUUAAAAAAUUUUUUAUGAUUAGUAUUUUUAUUGCUAUUAGAUGAUAAAACAUGAAUAGUACUUUAUGUGUGACUAAAUAUUUUUAAAAUUUUCACAAAUUUUUUAAAUAAAACGGACGGUCAAACAUUAGACACGAAUAUCCACGGCUAUACUUAUU